rnacentral:tRNA from 1 species
GCGCCUGUAGCUCAGUGGAUUAGAGCACCGGCCUCCGGAGCCGGGUGUCGGAGGUUCGAGUCCUCCCAGGCGCGCCA